GCUGAGAGAGGCUGAGAGUCGGGAUUAAAGAGUUAAGGGCUAUGGUGAUAGGUGGGAUGGGUUGAGAGAGGCUGAGAGUCGGGAUUAAAGAGUUGAGGGCUAUGGUGAUAGGUGGGAUGGGCUGAGAGAGGCUGAGAGUCGGGAUUAAAGAGUUGAGGGCUAUGGUGAUAGGUGGGAUGGGUUGAGAGAGGCUGAGAGUCGGGAUUAAAGAGUUGAGGGCUAUGGUGAUAGAUGGGAUGGGUUGAGAGAGGCUGAGAGGCGGGAUUAAAGAGCUGAGGGCUAUGGUGAUAGGUGGGAUGGGCUGAGAGAGGCUGAG